rnacentral:snoRNA from 1 species
UACAAUGAUGAAUAAGAGCUUUGCUCGAAUCAAACCCAGCUCUUCGAGUGCCCUCAAAUUUAUAAACUCACGAAGGGGGCACCUUGAGAACAAAAGUUAUAAACUGAAAU